UACGUAGGGACCGAGCGUUGUUCGGAUUCAUUGGGCGUAAAGGGUGCGUAGGCGGCGCGGUAAGUCGGGUGUGAAAUCUCGGAGCUUAACUCCGAAACUGCAUUCGAUACUGCCGUGCUUGAGGACUGGAGAGGAGACUGGAAUUUACGGUGUAGCGGUGAAAUGCGUAGAUAUCGUAAGGAAGACCAGUGGCGAAGGCGGGUCUCUGGACAGUUCCUGACGCUGAGGCACGAAGGCCAGGGGAGCAAACGGG
rnacentral:rRNA from 1 species